rfam:Geomyces destructans 20631-21 unplaced genomic scaffold supercont1.29, whole genome shotgun sequence.
UUUCAUGAUGAAUAUCCAGAUAGGGACAGCUUAUGCUACACGCAAGUGAUGUCAACUGGUCGGAAAUUUUAGUAGAUGCUCCGUGUUUUCUGAAA